UUUGAGAGAGAGUUCAAGAGUACGUGAAACUGCUCAGAGGCAAACGGGUGGGCCCUCGAAAUCCCAUCGGGGAGAGAUUCAGUCUGUGCGGCGGGAGGCGAUGCGGAGGUCGGACCCCGAGUAGGGUCGACGCCGCGGCGCGGUCGCCCGACGCGCAGACGCACUUCUCUCCCCGCCGAGGACGCCGCAACGGAUCGGGUAGCAGCGAGAGUCGGCCAUGAGCCGGUCCCAGGCAGGUGGUCGGUCGGCGGACUUCGGUCCUCCGCGCCGGCUAUUCACGGGGCCGCCGCGUGGCGCGACACCCGAUCGAGGUCAACGUUCCCCCGUCGGGGAACCGAUCGUCUCCGUCUCUCCAAGAGACGCGGCGCACCGGGCCAGUGAGCGCCCGCGACGCAGCUCCACCCCCAGCGGUGGCCGGCGCGCGGGUGGCCGUUGGUGGGUCCGGGCAAGGCCGCGACGAGACGUGCGGUCGGCGGCGAGUAGUCGGUCACCCACCCGACCCGUCUUGAAACACGGACCAAGGAGUCUAACAUGUGCGCGAGUCGCAGGGUCUUGUUCAGGCCCUCGGGCGCAAUGAAAGUGAAGGUCUCCCUCGCGGGACCGAGUUGGGAUCCCGGCCGCCCGCGGUCGGGAGCACCAACGACCCGUCCGCACCGGUCCGCCGGUGGGGCGGAGUCUGAGCGUACACGUUGGGACCCGAAAGAUGGUGAACUAUGCCUGGGCAGAACGAAGCCAGAGGAAACUCUGGUGGAGGUUCGCAGCGGUUCUGACGUGCAAAUCGAUCGUCAGACCCGGG
rnacentral:rRNA from 1 species